GUCCUUUUGAUUUUUAUAUAAGGUCUGACCUGCCCUAUGAAUAUUUAAAUGGCCGCGGUAUACUAACCGUGCAAAGGUAGCAUAGUCAUUUGUCUCUUAAUUGGAGGCUUGAAUGAAGGGUUGGACGAGAUAUAAGCUUUCUUUGUUAUAUUUUAUUGAAUUUGACUUUUGAGUUAAAAGGCUUAAAUUUUUUUAUAGGACGAGAAGACCCUAUAGAAUUUUAUAUAUUUGUAUAAUUGAUUUAUUUAUUUAUUAUUUAAUUUCUUGUUUAAAUAUAUUUUGUUGGGGCGAUGGGAAGAUUUUAAUAACUCUUUUUUGUUUUGAUCAUUGAUUUAUGUUUUAUUCUGGUCCUUUUUUAGAGAUUAUAAGAUUAAAUUACCUUAGGGAUAACAGCGUAAUUCUUUUGGAGAGUUCUUAUCGAUAAAAGAGUUUGCGA
rnacentral:rRNA from 1 species